GUUCCAGGCGCCGGGCCCCCGGGACCCGGCCAGAGCCGAGCGCAGUGGCAGACGCGGGUGCGGGGGUUCUUUUAGGGGCGCCGGUUUCGGGGGACGCGGUGAGCAUAGCGGUCCGAAUCUCCCUGGAGCUGAAGUUUUCUUCUCUCUAACUUUGCAGGCAGCAUCUGGCGGGGCCGAACCACCCCCUCUGGGCUCCACCGCCCUCGCGCCGAAUCGGGAGACGCCGGGUCUCCUCCGGGGGCGCUGGGGCCGGGCGCGCCCUCGGCUCCGCGCCCAGCCGGCUAGCAAACUUUGCGGGUCCCGGAGCCGGGCGCGCAGCCCUGAGCGCCCAUGUCCGCGCCAGCCGCGGGGCGGCGGGGGAGGGUGCUGGGCUUCGCGACGCGGGCUGUCGCCGGCGCCCGGGCGCAGAGCCUCCUGCCGGCCCGAGGAUGGAGACCGGCGGCUCUGCCCUCCGCCGCGCCCCGGCCGGAGCUCUCGGGAAGACGCACGGAGAGCCCGGCGGGCAGCCCCGGCUCCGGGGACGCGGCGCCCCUUCGGACGCCCGGCGAUCGCCGACCUCCCGGGCCGGAGGAGCAACGGCCGCCCCAGCGCCUCGGCCGCCGCUGCCGCUCGCCGAGCCCGCCGCCCUCCGCUUCCCGGGCUCGGCGUCCAGAGAGCCGCUCCUGCCUGCGCCGAGCCGGAGCUGCGGGGGCAGCGUGAGCCGGGGACGAGCGCGGCGGAGGCGGAGACGCGGAGAGGGGGGCCGAGCGCUACCCCGUGGCCGCGACUGGAGAGCAGCCUGCGCGCCGGGAGGGGCGGCGGCGGCGGCGGCGGCCCCGAGCCAGGCCCGGGAGCGAGCCCCGCAGAAAUACAAUCCGACUGCGCGGCCGCGGGCGCCCAGCGGCUCUGGGACCCGCAGGGGGGCAGCAGUGCCAACCUUCUGCCGCGCCGGGAGAGAUGCGCGCGAGCCCCUCCGCUCUCUGCCCAGCCUUUCCUUCCAGCCUCGCUCGCGCCCCUGUCUCAAAGGCCUCAUCGGGAGGCCUGGGACCUGCAGAAGCCUGAGAAAGUGAAGUUGGUGCCAAGGAGCGUGCGUUCUUUGUUUCUUCUUUUUUCCUUCGGAGCCCAGCUUGUAAAGAGUAGAAGAACCGGACAUUGGUGGAGGAAUUCAAACAAGAGAGCCCGGAGGCGUCCUCUGCUGUGGCCCAGAGCUAGCGCCUACUCCACGAAGCUCAGCUGGGGUUAACAGGCUUCUGUUAAAAUUUCCCGGGCACUGGGAAAAUUUCAGGUGCCUUCGCCUCGGUGGACUCCUUUCCCUGCUAACAAAAUUAUUAAAAAUAAGAUUUUGCAACUGCGUUGGCAUAAGGAAAAGUAUAUUAAUAUUGCAUAUUAAAACAUGUUCUUCAGCCUAAAGCUUUACUUAUUUUUUUCUGAUUUUAAAAGAAAUCAAAACAUUUUCAUGGGCCCCAAAAGACUAUGGUCCCUGGCACUGGGCCUGCGGUGCUUAAUGCAGAAGUCUACCCUGCGUGUCUGAUAUUUCUUCUGGGAAAUAAAGAGCUAGUGAGACCCUCCAUCUUUUGCCACAGUGCUUCU
rnacentral:lncRNA from 1 species